rnacentral:misc_RNA from 1 species
AAGGAUCAUUACAGUAUGAUUAGAGGGGUUUGAUGCUGGCUUUUAACUAGGCAUGUGCGCACCCUUCGACUUCAAUCCACAUACACCUGUGCACCUUUGGCGAGUCAGUCUCCCAGCUGCAAAGUUGCGUCCUUGUGAAUUUAUUCACUUGGAAUUGGGGCUGCUUGUCAUAUCACAUACAUUAAUACCAGUUUAUAACGCAUGUUUAUUUGCUCUACGGAGCUUUAAUAAAAUACAACUUUCAACAACGGAUCUCUUGGCUUUC